rnacentral:rRNA from 1 species
ACCGUACAAACGUUAUUCGGAAUCACUGGGCUUAAAGGGUGCGUAGGCGGCGCGGAAAGUAGGGUGUGAAAUCCCUCGGCUCAACCGAGGAAUUGCGCUCUAAACUACCGUGCUCGAGGGAGAUAGAGGUGAGCGGAACUUAGGGUGGAGCGGUGAAAUGCGUUGAUAUCCUAAGGAACACCGGUGGCGAAAGCGGCUCACUGGAUCUCUUCUGACGCUGAGGCACGAAAGCUGGGGGAGCAAACAGG